GGUCCAGUGUGGCAUAGUGGUUUGAGUGUUGGACUACAAUUAUGGAGACCAGGGUUCGAAUUCCAGCUCAGCCA